GUUAGCGUGGCAGAGUCCGGCUAUUGCAAAAGACCUAAACCCUUUACAUGGGGUUCAAAUCCCCCCCCUAACU
rnacentral:tRNA from 1 species